GUGGUGGUUGAACCAAAGACUUAAAUAUUGAACAUAUGCAACUGAAAAUAUUAGUUGGAGUAAGAGUAAUUGACCUCUUUCUGUUUUUAUUUUUUUGUCUAAUAGCUUUGUGGUUAGAAAUCUACUCUUCAAUGACAAGUUUGAAUUACCCCAUUUAAAGGAAGACAAUUGUUGUAGUUGGAAUGCACCUUACCCUAACUAAUGACGAUUUUAUGGCAGAAUCAAACUUUUGAUGAUAUCUUAAGUUGAUCUAAGCAACUUCAACCGCAUACCAAACGUGUUCCACCAUCGUUGUGUCUCUGAGCUUCUCCCCCGUUGAAUUGCGUAUGAACGUUGAUCCACCCGGCCAUUGUUUUAAAUCUACACAAUAAGAAACAAAAAACAAUCAAUAAAAAACUUAUUCAAACAUUUAGUCAAACACUUGAUGUGCACGUAAUACAUUGACUCUUAAAUUCAUAAAAAUAACCCUAAAAUUAUAAAUCAUAUAGUCUUCUUACUAAAAUAAAAAAAAAAUUAGUCAUGUAAAUCUACUCUAAAACUAACAUCUAUCCUAAAAAUUAAUUAUAACAUGUAAAACUAACAUCUAUCCUAAAAAAAUUAGUCUUCUUAAAAGUUUAUUUGUUUUUUUCAUUAUACGUUUCACUUCAUCAAAAUACUAAAAAUCUUGAAGGAAAAAAAAAUCAUAUCUAUCACACUAAACUUAUUCACACCUUGUAGAGUUUGUAGGUGUUCAAAUUUUUGAGAGAGUAUUCUUUCUUUCAAAAAAAAGGGAGUACUGCUUAUAGAGUUUAGAGAGAAAGUAUUUUGGCUAGAG
rnacentral:lncRNA from 1 species